CGACGAUCGAACUGCCUCAGAGGACCCCAAAAGAAAGUGUCCCUACACACCUGUUAAUGAUGCGCAUGAGAGUGCUGAGCUGGAUAAUAAUAUAGCGAAUCACACAUUGGACAGGUCCCCAAAAACUGGAAGUAUUCCAGCUCUGAGGCGAAGACAUGCAAGGCCACUGGAGCUGGACAGUGAGGGGGAAGAGGAGGAAGAGGAGAGCAGAGAGAAAGAGGGGGAGCCAACAAGAGAGAAAGAGGAGGCAGCAGACAAGGUUCCCCAACGCCAGCAGAGGGAUGAAGAUGAUGACAAUGACCAAAAAGAGGAAGAAGUGGACGAUGAUGAAGAUGAAGAUGAAGAUGUGGUCUUCUCUAAAGUUACAACAGGAUUACAGUCUCCAA